GCCGCCCGCCCGGCCCGGCCGGCUCCGCUCACCUGGGCGGAUUUCUUGCAGGGUCCGGACUGCAGGAACCGCGCGAUCAGCAUUCCAGCUGGAAGCCUGGCCACAUGCUCUUUGCUUAAUGCCUAUAAAUCCACAGCCAUGCUCCAUGUUGCUCCUCAUCGCAGCUCAGAUGGAUUUGUGGAUCAGGAGGAGAGGAGAGCAUUAGGAAUGCCCCAGGAGUCCUGCCUGCUGAGUAAUGCCCAUCCUUGUCAUUCCCCGGGAGCUCCAUUUCCCCGCCACACGCGGAUCUUGCAUCUCCGUGACUCAUCUCUUUCCGGAUCCUCUGCCUCCGAGCAGCAGCAUGCUGGGGAUGAUAGUAAAUCUGGGAGUGAAGGCAGGAUUUUAUGGAUGUGCUGAUUCAUCUUUCCUCGGAGCAGAGCUCUGUUAUGUAAAUGCCAGCGGCAGCCGCGGCAGAGAGGAGGGAGAACAGACUAAUGAGCCAGAGAA